ACGCACGCUGGCGGCGUGCUUAACACAUGCAAGUCGAACGGAAAGGCCCUGCUUUUGUGGGGUGCUCGAGUGGCGAACGGGUGAGUAACACGUGAGUAACCUGCCCUUGACUUUGGGAUAACUUCAGGAAACUGGGGCUAAUACCGGAUAGGAGCUCCUGCUGCAUGGUGGGGGUUGGAAAGUUUCGGCGGUUGGGGAUGGACUCGCGGCUUAUCAGCUUGUUGGUGGGGUAGUGGCUUACCAAGGCUUUGACGGGUAGCCGGCCUGAGAGGGUGGCCGGCCACAUUGGGACUGAGAUACGGCCCAGACUCCUACGGGAGGCAGCAGUGGGGAAUAUUGCACAAUGGGCGGAAGCCUGAUGCAGCAACGCCGCGUGCGGGAUGACGGCCUUCGGGUUGUAAACCGCUUUCGCCUGUGACGAAGCGUGAGUGACGGUAAUGGGUAAAGAAGCACCGGCUAACUACGUG
rnacentral:rRNA from 1 species